GAUGAACUCUGGCGGCGUGCCUAAUACAUGCAAGUCGAACGAGUUCUGAUUAUUGAAAGGUGCUUGCAUCUUGAUUUAAUUUUGAACGAGUGGCGGACGGGUGAGUAACACGUGGGUAACCUGCCCUUAAGUGGGGGAUAACAUUUGGAAACAGAUGCUAAUACCGCAUAAAUCCAAGAACCGCAUGGUUCUUGGCUGAAAGAUGGCGUAAGCUAUCGCUUUUGGAUGGACCCGCGGCGUAUUAGCUAGUUGGUGAGGUAACGGCUCACCAAGGCAAUGAUACGUAGCCGAACUGAGAGGUUGAUCGGCCACAUUGGGACUGAGACACGGCCCAAACUCCUACGGGAGGCAGCAGUAGGGAAUCUUCCACAAUGGACGCAAGUCUGAUGGAGCAACGCCGCGUGAGUGAAGAAGGCUUUCGGGUCGUAAAACUCUGUUGUUGGAGAAGAAUGGUCGGCAGAGUAACUGUUGUCGGCGUGACGGUAUCCAACCAGAAAGCCACGGCUAACUACGUGCCAGCAGCCGCGGUAAUACGUAGGUGGCAAGCGUUAUCCGGAUUUAUUGGGCGUAAAGCGAGCGCAGGCGGUUUUUUAAGUCUGAUGUGAAAGCCCUCGGCUUAACCGAGGAAGUGCAUCGGAAACUGGGAAACUUGAGUGCAGAAGAGGACAGUGGAACUCCAUGUGCAGCGGUGAAAUGCGUAGAUAUAUGGAAGAACACCAGUGGCGAAGGCGGCUGUCUGGUCUGUAACUGACGCUGAGGCUCGAAAGCAUGGGUAGCGAACAGGAUUAGAUACCCUGGUAGUCCAUGCCGUAAACGAUGAAUGCUAGGUGUUGGAGGGUUUCCGCCCUUCAGUGCCGCAGCUAACGCAUUAAGCAUUCCGCCUGGGGAGUACGACCGCAAGGUUGAAACUCAAAGGAAUUGACGGGGGCCCGCACAAGCGGUGGAGCAUGUGGUUUAAUUCGAAGCAACGCGAAGAACCUUACCAGGUCUUGACAUCUUUUGAUCACCUGAGAGAUCAGGUUUCCCCUUCGGGGGCAAAAUGACAGGUGGUGCAUGGUUGUCGUCAGCUCGUGUCGUGAGAUGUUGGGUUAAGUCCCGCAACGAGCGCAACCCUUAUGACUAGUUGCCAGCAUUUAGUUGGGCACUCUAGUAAGACUGCCGGUGACAAACCGGAGGAAGGUGGGGAUGACGUCAAAUCAUCAUGCCCCUUAUGACCUGGGCUACACACGUGCUACAAUGGACAAUACAAAGGGUAGCGAAACCGCGAGGUCAAGCAAAUCCCAUAAAGUUGUUCUCAGUUCGGAUUGUAGUCUGCAACUCGACUAUAUGAAGCUGGAAUCGCUAGUAAUCGCGGAUCAGCACGCCGCGGUGAAUACGUUCCCGGGCCU
rnacentral:rRNA from 1 species